rnacentral:tRNA from 1 species
AAAGGUAUAGCUCAGUGGUCAGGGUACUUGCCUAGCACGCAUGAAGGCCUUGGUUGAUUCCUAGCACCCCAA